rnacentral:rRNA from 1 species
CCUACGGGUGGCAGCAGUGGGGAAUAUUGGACAAUGGGGGGAACCCUGAUCCAGCCAUGCCGCGUGUGUGAAGAAGGCCCUCGGGUUGUAAAGCACUUUCAGUGAGGAAGAACGCCUGGUGGUUAAUACCCAUCAGGAAAGACAUCACUCAUAGAAGAAGCACCGGCUAACUCCGUGCCAGCAGCCGCGGUAAUACGGAGGGUGCGAGCGUUAAUCGGAAUUACUGGGCGUAAAGCGCGCGUAGGUGGCUUGAUAAGCCGGUUGUGAAAGCCCCGGGCUCAACCUGGGAACGGCAUCCGGAACUGUCAAGCUAGAGUGCAGGAGAGGAAGGUAGAAUUCCCGGUGUAGCGGUGAAAUGCGUAGAGAUCGGGAGGAAUACCAGUGGCGAAGGCGGCCUUCUGGACUGACACUGACACUGAGGUGCGAAAGCGUGGGUAGCAAACAGGAUUAGAUACCCUGGUAGUC